GGGCGRAAGCCUGAUGGAGCAACGCCGCGUGAGUGAAGAAGGUUUUCGGAUCGUAAAACUCUGUUGUAAGGGAAGAACAAGUACAGUAGUAACUGGCUGUACCUUGACGGUACCUUAUUAGAAAGCCACGGCUAACUACGUGCCAGCAGCCGCGGUAAUACGUAGGUGGCAAGCGUUGUCCGGAAUUAUUGGGCGUAAAGCGCGCGCAGGCGGUCCUUUAAGUCUGAUGUGAAAGCCCACGGCUCAACCGUGGAGGGUCAUUGGAAACUGGGGGACUUGAGUGCAKAAGAGGAAAGUGGAAUUCCAAGUGUAGCGGUGAAAUGCGUAGAGAUUUGGAGGAACACCAGUGGCGAAGGCGACUUUCUGGUCUGUAACUGACGCUGAGGCGCGAAAGCGUGGGGAGCAAACAGGAUUAGAUACCCUGGUAGUCCACGCCGUAAACGAUGAGUGCUAAGUKUUAGGGGGUUUCCGCCCCUUAGUGCUGCAGCUAACGCAUUAAGCACUCCGCCUGGG
rnacentral:rRNA from 1 species